UGCUGGAGGUAUCAGAAGUGCGAAUGCUGACAUAAGUAACGAUAAAGCGGGUGAAAAGCCCGCUCGCCGGAAGACCAAGGGUUCCUGUCCAACGUUAAUCGGGGCAGGGUGAGUCGACCCCUAAGGCGAGGCCGAAAGGCGUAGUCGAUGGGAAACAGGUUAAUAUUCCUGUACUUGGUGUUACUGCGAAGGGGGGACGGAGAAGGCUAUGUUGGCCGGGCGACGGUUGUCCCGGUUUAAGCGUGUAGGCUGGUUUUCCAGGCAAAUCCGGAAAAUCAAGGCUGAGGCGUGAUGACGAGGCACUACGGUGCUGAAGCAACAAAUGCCCUGCUUCCAGGAAAAGCCUCUAAGCAUCAGGUAACAUCAAAUCGUACCCCAAACCGACACAGGUGGUCAGGUAGAGAAUACCAAGGCGCUUGAGAGAACUCGGGUGAAGGAACUAGGCAAAAUGGUGCCGUAACUUCGGGAGAAGGCACGCUGAUAUGUAGGUGAAGUCCCUCGCGGAUGGAGCUGAAAUCAGUCGAAGAUACCAGCUGGCUGCAACUGUUUAUUAAAAACACAGCACUGUGCAAACACGAAAGUGGACGUAUACGGUGUGACGCCUGCCCGGUGCCGGAAGGUUAAUUGAUGGGGUUAGCCGCAAGGCGAAGCUCUUGAUCGAAGCCCCGGUAAACGGCGGCCGUAACUAUAACGGUCCUAAGGUAGCGAAAUUCCUUGUCGGGUAAGUUCCGACCUGCACGAAUGGCGUAAUGAUGGCCAGGCUGUCUCCACCCGAGACUCAGUGAAAUUGAACUCGCUGUGAAGAUGCAGUGUACCCGCGGCAAGACGGAAAGACCCCGUGAACCUUUACUAUAGCUUGACACUGAACAUUGAGCCUUGAUGUGUAGGAUAGGUGGGAGGCUUUGAAGUGUGGACGCCAGUCUGCAUGGAGCCGACCUUGAAAUACCACCCUUUAAUGUUUGAUGUUCUAACGUGGACCCGUGAUCCGGGUUGCGGACAGUGUCUGGUGGGUAGUUUGACUGGGGCGGUCUCCUCCUAAAGAGUAACGGAGGAGCACGAAGGUUGGCUAAUCCUGGUCGGACAUCAGGAGGUUAGUGCAAUGGCAUAAGCCAGCUUGACUGCGAGCGUGACGGCGCGAGCAGGUGCGAAAGCAGGUCAUAGUGAUCCGGUGGUUCUGAAUGGAAGGGCCAUCGCUCAACGGAUAAAAGGUACUCCGGGGAUAACAGGCUGAUACCGCCCAAGAGUUCAUAUCGACGGCGGUGUUUGGCAC
rnacentral:rRNA from 1 species